AACAGGAUGGUCUCCGGAGCCUGGGAUUCUCGGAGGGUCGACCACCAGGAAGAAACCUCAGAAGGAAGAAACCUCAGGCGGAUCGCCGGGGCGGCAGCGCGAGAGCCCAGCCUCAGGCCUGGAUUCGGGGAGGGUCGAGGAGGGCCCUCUCCCAAUCUUCACUUCACACGCCGCCGUCCCAGUCCCCGCAGCCGCCGCUCCGCGGUCAUUUUUCUUUUCUUUCUUUUUCUUUUUUUAUAGUCGGAGUCUCACUCUGUCACUCAGUCGAGUUCAGUGGCGGGAUCUCAGCUGACUGCAAACUCUGCCGCCCGGGUUCAAGUGAUUCUCUUGCCUCCGCCUCCCGAGUACCUGAGACUAGAGGGAUUAGUCAGAGUCGGGACUAAGACCAGUCCUGGCCAGGGCAUCAACAGGAUAGUCUCUGGAGGCCGGGAUUCACGGAGGGUCGUCCAGGAGGAAGAAACUGCGGGCGGAGGGCCAGGGAAGCAGCGCGGGAUCCCAGCCUCUGGCCUGCACGGACGGUGUGCCAGUGAGUCUCUUCAAAAAAGGAGAGGUUUGCUUGUGUGCCCGUGGGCUGCUCUCUCACCAGUGGGUUGUAGUCGUGGAGAGCAGAACCCUGAAAAUUCAGGGGCUGCCUGGGGGUAGCUGUUACCGUGCCACUGCUGUAUGUCUUUGUGCGUUUGUGUGUGUGCGUAUGUCUCUCUCUUGUUUCUCUCUCCCCUUUCUCGCUCUUUAGUUCUGUGUCCGUGUGUGUGUGUGUGUGUGUGUGUGUGUGUGUGUGUGUGUGUGUGUUGGGACACAUGUGCCCUGUGCGCCAGAGGGCGGUAUCUUCUACGUCCACCUUUCCUGUGGUCAGCCUCUCCCCGCGUCUCUGCCUGGCUUGUGUGGCCCGUUGUCAGUCAUUUUUCUGGCGGUUCCAGUUUAGGUUUGUGAAGGUCCAGAUGAGGUGGGGAGCUGCGUCUCUCUUGUAAGAAUUUAAAUCACCUCCCCACCCUGAGAGGCCUCUUUUCUAGGAUUAAGUCCUCACCCCCCAGCCAAGGAUAAUAGCCUCACCGGAGAGAUCAUUGUCUACCUGCAAGAACAGUGCAGAGCGACCUGAAAGAAGAUGGUUCUCAUUCGUCUCUCUCUUUCAUCUCCUUGAAAUAUCUAGCCACAGGGUAACAGGUUUUGAGAGGAUGGGAACGGAACGUGGCAAGGAUCUGUGAGUGUGCAGGCUGUGUUUCACAUAUCAUUAAACAUAGUCUAGUGAGGGUUCUGCAGAUAGCUGGCGUUUAAAGUUUGUUUUAUUGAAUCAAGGAAAAGAAAAAAUGCUGAGAAAAAAAUGACACAACUUGCCUGCCAGCCCAUCUGACUGUUACAAAUUUAAUUGUAAUUUUAAUUUAUCUUCUCAUGUAAAGGUCCUUGGCAGUGAUACCUAAUUUCCUAAGAUAGCCUUGCUUUAUAUUGUAUGAUUAAGAUGUCAUGCAUAUCAGACUAUCUGGAAAUUCUUCCCAACGUCCUUGACAUACGUGAUUAAUCACAUUUCCAAAAUAACAUACCAAAACGAAUAACAGAAAAUCAUUUUAAGUUGUGGUUCCUUCAUGCACAAAACAUUUCAUGUGUGUCUGGCACUCUUCCGGCCACAGAUUUCAUCUUAACCUAAGUAUUGAAAUGCUUGUGCCCUUUGAUUAAUUUUUCUAUGUAAAUACUUUGAUAAUAAGCUACAUUGAGGCCGGGUGCAGUGGCUCACACCUCUAAUCCCAGUUCUUUGGGAGGCUGAGGCCAGCAGAUCACGAAGUCAGGAGAUCAAGACCAUCCUGGCCAACAUGGUGAAACCCCGUCUCUUCAAAUAUACAAAGAAUUAGCCAGAGAAGCAGGGAAUCUGGAAUUUUGGGUGAAAUAUCUGUUUCCAGAAGCUGAAAGUGCUCUCAAAUGGAAACUUCAGGGUCAGAAUGGCCUGGGGUACUGCACACUUCCUACCAGGAAUAGAAGGCCCCACAGCUAUAGCACCUCUCUUCCCUUUAGUUCUUUGGAAGGAUGAGCAAAAUUAUUCAGCCUCUCUGAGCCUCAGUUUUCUCAUCCAUAAAAUGAGGACAGUACACCAACCUCGCAGGUCACAAGGAUGUUAUGGAAUCAGAGAAACUCCCUGGCUCCAGGCAGGGCUUGCUCCCCUCACUGCAGCAGGAAGCCCAGCUUGCGAACUGCAGGUGUGCUCCAGGUGGUCGCUGGAUGCAGGGUAUUGACAGAUGGAUCCCAUCAAUACCCCCACUGCAUAACCAUAGUGCAGUGAAUAGAAGACACUUCUCUGCACCCCAAAAGCUCCAUGCUGAUUGCAAGAAGGAAAUGCUGGAUGGAGGGGUUCCUGGAACUACUGUGAGGGAAAUGGUGAGAGAACUUUGGAUGUGGAAUGUGGAGUAGGAGGAACACGAAGUGGGGAUCUGCACUUGGGGUGGUCAGCACUGCGGAUGCCCAGCAAAGGCACUGCCUGGUCCACAUCCCGGAGUGGUCUCUGCGCCCGAGUCGACAUCGCAGCUGAUGGUGAAACUUUUGGUGUGGCAGAAGAGUGUCCACAAACUUUGGAAGGUAUCCGUUGCCUCCUCCAUAGCCGUGUAUCCCUGCCGAGGGCGAUCAUCUCGGGGAGCCGAAAGUCCGGCUCAUGGGCCAGGGCUGGCUGGCUGGAGCCACUUGCGCGGCGCAGCCCUGGCGGAGGUUCAGGCGGCCCCGGUGUCGCAAGCGGCUGUGAGUGAUGCCUCCUUGGUGCCGGAGGGGUCCCAGGAAGUCUGCAGACCAGGGCUGACCAGCGGGCAGCAUGGUGGCCGCGAUGGAAGGUGACGGGGUUCGCAGCGCCAGGGGACCCAGCAGAGCCAGAGCCCGGGCAUCCCGCAUCUCCAGCAGCACCGCGGGAAGGCCUGGCGCUGGUGACGUGGCGGCCAGUGCACAAGGCCCACGACCCAGUCCCAGAGGCCAGCCCAUCGUCAGCUAACUUCAGGAACCCCGGGCCAGCUGAGGCCCUGGGCCCCACGGGCAAGACAAAGGGCAGAGGGUCCGCAGGCGGGGCCGAGAGCAGGCAGUGCAGGCCUGGCUCCACAACCGCGGAGCUCGCAGGGCGCAGCAGGCACCGGGCAGCAACCAGGGCUUCCAGAGGAGGCUGUGCACCCCCGCAAAGGCUCCUGCCCGGCGUCCAGCCUAUCCGCGGGGACUCCACGUGCACCCCCUCCUCAUUGUCCUUGUCUAGGGCCGCAGCAAGGUCCUCGCUCCCAUGGCGUGACUCCGGUGACGCAGGAGCCUGGGCUGAGCAGGUGGAGUAGGGUGAGCACCGCCAAGAACCCAGCGAGAGUGGCGCCCCAGGGCGGCACAGGAGGCCUCAUUUAACGUAUAAAUCAUCUCAAAGAUUUUAUGGCAUCUUCUUUCUUUUGACAUCUUAUAAUAUCUAUAAUGUCUAUUAUAUCUUGUGAUAUAAUUAUUAACACCACUUCAUUGUGAUUAUUAUGAUUAUUUUUAUACCAACACAUCUUCGAUUAUUAAUAUUCCCAGUUGCUAGAGAAAAAUGAAAACGACUAGUUUUGAAAGCCUUACUUCUGCCAAUGGAAGCACAUUCCAGCAUGUCGCCAACGCAAUCCACUUUCCACCACUUUCACAAGAAACGUUACUGCACAAUUUUACUAUCCUACCCUUAUAUACUUUUUGUGUGUGUGUGUACUUGUAUGUAUGUAUGUUACAUAUGUAAUAUAUAUAUAUAUAUAAAGUAUGCCAGAGAUGAACAAGUAUUAGAAAAUCAAAUGCACACAGGUCAUGUCAGUGCUAUGUAUAAUGUGGUGUACUAAGUAUAGAUGUUCAACAGUGUGGGAUCCAGGCCAGAACAAGACUCCUAGUCUUAAGCAAUUCUUUCUAGGUUCAGUCUCUGGAAAUAAUGCUUUGUAUCAAAUGUGCGAGAAAAUUAAUGGGUUUUAAAGACUAUUCUAUGUCAACUAUAACAUUUCAUUUGGGGAUUUCUGUCCCUUAUAAUAUCUACUUCAUUUUGGAUGGAUUCCUUGAGGCCUGGUUUAUUUUUCUUUUCCUUUCUAUACAUCGCUGCUCAGAGUGAUGAAUGGAGUUGUAUUUUGAAUAAAAUAUCUAAGCAUC